rnacentral:rRNA from 1 species
AUUGAACGCUGGCGGCAUGCCUUACACAUGCAAGUCGAACGCGAAAGAGGGGCAACCCUUGAGUAGAGUGGCGAACGGGUGAGUAACGCAUCGGAACGUAUCCAGCAGUGGGGGAUAACCCAUCGAAAGAUGGGCUAAUACCGCAUACGCCCCGAGGGGGAAAGUGGGGGACUCGCAAGAGCCUCACGUUAUUGGAGCGGCCGAUGUCCGAUUAGCUAGUUGGCGGGGUAAGAGCCCACCAAGGCGACGAUCGGUAGCUGGUCUGAGAGGAUGAUCAGCCACACUGGGACUGAGACACGGCCCAGACUCCUACGGGAGGCAGCAGUGGGCAAUUUUGGACAAUGGGGGCAACCCUGAUCCAGCCAUGCCGCGUGAGUGAAGAAGGCCUUCGGGUUGUAAAGCUCUUUCGGCCGGAACGAAAUCGCAUCCUUUAAUACGGGGUGUGGAUGACGGUACCGGAAGAAGAAGCACCGGCUAACUACGUGCCAGCAGCCGCCGUAACAC